rnacentral:rRNA from 1 species
ACGAACGCUGGCGGCGUGCCUAACACAUGCAAGUCGAGCGAGGAGAUCCUUCGGGAUGAUCCUAGCGGCGGACGGGUGAGUAACACGUGGGCAACCUGCCUCAUAGAGAGGAAUAGCCUUCCGAAAGGGAGAUUAAUACCUCAUAACAUUGCAGUUUCGCAUGGAACAGCAAUUAAAGGAGCAAUCCGCUAUGAGAUGGGCCCGCGGCGCAUUAGCUAGUUGGUGAGGUAACGGCUCACCAAGGCGACGAUGCGUAGCCGACCUGAGAGGGUGAUCGGCCACAUUGGGACUGAGACACGGCCCAGACUCCUACGGGAGGCAGCAGUGGGGAAUAUUGCACAAUGGGGGAAACCCUGAUGCAAGCAACGCCGCGUGAGUGAUGACGGCCUUCGGGUUGUAAAGCUCUGUCUUCAGGGACGAUAAUGACGGUACCUGAGGAGGAAGCCACGGCUAACUACGUGCCAGCCGCAGC